rnacentral:rRNA from 1 species
CGUUUAGUGGCGGACGGGUGAGUAACGCGUGGGUAACCUGCCCUGUACAGGGGGAUAACAGCUGGAAACGGCUGUUAAUACCGCAUAAGCGCACAGGAGCGCAUGCUCCGGUGUGAAAAACUCCGGUGGUACAGGAUGGACCCGCGUCUGAUUAGCUGGUUGGCGGGGUAACGGCCCACCAAGGCGACGAUCAGUAGCCGGCCUGAGAGGGUGAACGGCCACAUUGGGACUGAGACACGGCCCAAACUCCUACGGGAGGCAGCAG